UACGGGGGGGGGCAAGCGUUGUUCGGAAUUACUGGGCGUAAAGGGCUCGUAGGCGGCCAACUAAGUCGGAUGUGAAAUCCCCAGGCUUAACCUGGGAACUGCAUCCGAUACUGGAUGGCUUGAAUCCGGGAGAGGGAUGCAGAAUUCCAGGUGUAGCGGUGAAAUGCGUAGAUAUCUGGAGGAACACCGGUGGCGAAGGCGGUUCUCUGGGCAUUACCUGACGCUGAGGAGCGAAAGUGUGGGGAGCGAACAGG
rnacentral:rRNA from 1 species